rnacentral:rRNA from 1 species
GCAUGCCUAUAACAUAGAGUUAAUGCACUGGAUCCCAUUAGAACUUUGUAGUUAAGAACACUCGGGCUAGAGUAUUACUAGGAUUGGCGACUGCUUGAGAAGUCCUAGUGUUUUACAUGCC